UGGAAGUAAAAGUCCGUAACAAGGUUUCCGUAGUGAACCUGCGGAAGGAUCAUUAUUGAAUUAAACCCUGGUCGGGUUGUUGCUGGCCUCUUGGGGCAUUUGUGCACGCCUGCCAUCGUUUUCAACCACCUGUGCACCUUUUG
rnacentral:rRNA from 1 species